rnacentral:rRNA from 1 species
GAUGAACGCUAGCGGCGGGCUUAACACAUGCAAGUCGAACGGCAAGGCGCUGCUGCAGUGGCCUGCUCGAGUGGCGAACGGGUGAGUAACACGCGAGUAACCUGCCCUCGACUCUGGGAUAACUUCAGGAGACUGGGGCUCAUACCGGCUAGGAGCUCCUGUUGCACAGGGGAGGAUGGUGAGUGUCGGCGGUUGGGGUUGGUCUCGCGGCUUAUCAGCUUGUUGGUGGGGGAGUGGCUUACCACGGCUUUGACGGGUAGCCGGCCUGUGAGGGGGACCGGCCACAGUGCGAAUGCGAUACGGCCCCGGCUCCUACGGGAGGUGGCAGUGGGGAAUAUUGCACAAUGGGCGGAACCCUGUGGGAGCAGCGCCGCGUGCGGGAUGUCGGCCGUCGGGUUGUGGGCCGAUUUAGCGUGUGACGAAGGGUGGGUGACGGUACUAGGUGAAGAAGCAUCGGCUAACUACGUG